CUGAAAUUUGCUUCUAAAACGUCUAGAAAAGAGAAUUCUUUCAGGAUCCACCCUGUGUGUGUGUGUGUGUGUGCGUGCACGCGCGCACACAGCAAUGAAACUAAAUGAUUCUGAAAAUCUUAAUGUGUGUAUGUUUGUGUUGCUUAGUUACUGGGCACUUUGUUGUCUCCCGUUAAUACUGAGUUGCCAGAGUUGCAAGUUGACCUAACUUAUGUGUUUGUUUUUUUCUGGUGGGAGAUCUUAAUUUUUUUUCUCCAGUGUGUCAGGAGAUGAGUCACUUGGUUUUAAAAAGCUGCGUUCAUCUAAUCAAGUGGUGUGGAGGAGGAAGACUGGAAGAUGAGUAAACUGCUCUUAAUAAAUAUAACAUAUAGGAGCCCUGUCAUGGAUCGGGACCCUAUUGUGUUAGGGGCUGUACAAACACAGAACAAAAAGAGUCCCUGCCCUAAAGAUGUUACAGUCUAGAUAAUUGUAGAAUCCAGCACUACUGAGAGAACAGCAUUCAUUCAGAUCCAUCCUAUCAUUGAUUUUUGUUGGUCCACGGCAAGGACUGAACACUAAAAGGACUGCUUUUUUUAGACUGCUAGAAAUCUCUCUAAUCUGAACUAUUAAUACUAUGCUAAGACCUAUAGAAAACACGUGGAAAAACCUGGAAUGCCAGCACCAGCACUUUCUUCAGAAGAUCCUCAACAUAAAAUGGGAGGAUCGCAGCACUAAUGUCAGUAUCCGCACAGAGGCCAACAUCUUUGGUGUUGAGGCCCUGAUUAUCCUGCGUCGAAUGAGGUGGAGUGGGAACCAUGUACGCAUGCCUGAAGAAAGCUUACCAAAACAACUGCUGUGCGCCCACCUUACCAAAGGAGAAAGGAAAUAGGGAGGCCAAAAGAAAUGCUUUAAAAACAUCCUCAAGAUAAACAUCAAGAGAUGUGGCAUCAACACCACACACUGGGAGACAGCAGCCGAGGAUAGGGAUAACUGGCAAAGACAGAGAGGGAACAUCCACUUUUGGGGAAAAUCGCCUUGCCCUGGUUGCAGAAAAACACUAGAAAAGCAAGGACCGACUACUCUCAUGCAGCAAUCGUGGCCCAACCCUGUCUUCCAACACCACCUGCAAUAUCUGCCUGUGGCUCAAGGAUUGGACUCCAGUCACCAGAGCACCCAUGAAAAAUAAAACCCGUGAAAGAGAUUGUGACAUUGCACUCCAUAUGAUUUUAUGAAAAUAUGAUGAGUGUGAAUAUAAUGUAACUGGAAUAUGCUUAUGCAAAAGGUCUCUUGUAAGGUAUCAUUACAAAGCUUAUAAUCUGAGUGUGGUCAUCCUAUUUGUAUGAAUGAUACAUUCUUGUAUCUGAAACUAGAAAUAUGAAAUAUAACUCUGAGGUCCUAUUGUAAUUAUGCAAAGUUUGGGCCAUUAAUGGUGGUUUGGAAUCUUGUUGGCUCCCAUCAACUAGGACAAUUGGUUGUAAAUGGCUCUGUUUACUUGCAAGCCUUCCUGUUAGUUAGACUAGGAAGAAUGAAGGCUUGCAGUUUCACAGGACAUGUGGCCAUGUCACUUGGUACUGGAAUCCAUCUUAAACCUGGUGCUUUUCCAUUUAGAAGGAGAAAGACAAAAGAUUCCCACCUUGUGCCAAAAGGGGUAGAACAGAACAAAGAAGUUUCCAGUCAUGAGAACUCCCUUAGUUAUCACCUGAGCUGGAGCUAACGAGAACUCUACCAGGGGAAAGGAUUGGGCCCAGAGUAGGAAGGAGUACAGUCUGUGAAAGAAGCUUAUUGGAACAUCUGUGAGGGUGAGAUGUAUCUGUAAUCAGUUUCUUAAUUUAUUAGGCUUAGAUUUGUGUGUUUUUUGUUUUGUUUUGUUUGGUAACUUACUUUGUUCUGUAUGUUUAUUACUUGGGACCACUUAAAUUCUACUUUUUAUAUUUAAUAAAAUCACUUUUGCUUAUU